ACUCAAAUGAAUUGACGGGGACCCGCACAAGCGGUGGAGGAUGUGGUUUAAUAUGACGCUACGCGUAGAACCUUACCGAGGCUUGACAUCCUUGGAAUCCCCUGGAAACAGGGGAGUGCCGCAAGGAGCCAAGUGACAGGUGCUGCAUGGCCGUCGUCAGCUCGUGUUGUGAAAUGUUGGGUUAAGUCCCGCAACGAGCGCAACCCUUAUCGUAUGUUGUAUUUUUCAUGCGAGACUGCCCGGGCCAACCGGGAGGAAGGUGGGGAUGAAGUCAGGUCGGCAUGGCCCUUACGCCUCGGGCUACACACGUCCUACAAUGGCCGGUACAACGCGCCGCUAAGCCGCGAGGCGGAGCUAAUCGCAACAAAACCGGUCCCAGUUCGGAUUGGAGGCUGCAACUCGCCUCCAUGAAGUCGGAAUCGCUAGUAACCGUAGGUCAGCAUACUGCGGUGAAUACGUUCCCGGGUCUUGCACACACCGCCCGU
rnacentral:rRNA from 1 species